AGCGGCGGACGGGUGAGUAACGCGUGGGUAACCUGCCUCGUACAGGGGGAUAACAGUUGGAAACGGCUGCUAAUACCGCAUAAGCGCACAGUACCGCAUGGUACGGUGUGAAAAACUCCGGUGGUAUGAGAUGGACCCGCGUCUGAUUAGCUGGUUGGUGAGGUAACGGCCCACCAAGGCAACGAUCAGUAGCCGGCCUGAGAGGGUGAACGGCCACAUUGGGACUGAGACACGGCCCAA
rnacentral:rRNA from 1 species